UUUACUUCAAGCCUUUGACUUGAUAGACCUAGGUCACAGGAUUGCUGGAUGCCAACAUCUCUGACCUGAAGCUAUGUUAAGUCAAAAAUAAUUGCUAGCCGAGACAAACACUUGUAGGUUGCGCUAUCUGUAGCCCCAUUUUCUGGCCCUUAAAUUCUGCAGAGCAUGACUGUCCGAGUUUUUGUAGAGAUGUGGUUUGAGUUAAAAGCCUGUCACAGAAUGAUCUUUGCAGUUGAGCGUUGCGUCACUCUGUUUCUGGAGUCGUUUGUCUCUAUUAACGAAUCAUUGAGGCCUGGAGAAAAGGGGGAUGGAAGGAGACUUAAAACCUGGGAAAACUGAUUAAAACAGUCUGACGAGGACCAUCUGUGGAAUGCCAUUUUAAUGAAUACCUUUCAUUUGGGGUUGUGGCAUUCGAAAGGCAAGUAGCUGCCGAAACCUCAUUAAUAACAUCCCAGCUGAAAACCAGAGAGCAAGAAAGAAAAACAAAAUCUGAUAUCAUCUUUCUUAAGCAAACAUCACACAAGCUGAAUUGAGAAGAAGCAGUACUUACUUUGGUGAAGGCCAAUGCCAAAAAAUGACUAGGUCUCAAUGGAAUUUUAAUGGAUGAACCUCGGCACAUGGAUCCCUUUCAGGGGUCGGGUUUUGAGGGUCCAGCAUAUGGAAAGAAGAUUGCAGGACCACCUCCAGUGAGGGAGAGGCAGAGAGAUGACAUUAGACAACCCCUACUGAGCUGAAGAUGAGAUUUUCUGGCAUUAUUAUUGGUUUCAUAAAGCUUUUCUCAGAUUUAAAUCUUUUCUUACCAGUAAAUAAUCCGGUAUUUAAAAAGAAGUGAUAAGAGCAUGUUUUGUUUCCUGUAAAACAACCAGGACUGUGUUUUUAAUCAUUGUAUAGAUGUGAACAUUAGCCGGACCACGGUAGCACUACUUCACCAGGACAAAUUUGGCUUCUUGAUGGAAUGUAGAGCCAGCCUCCAUGUGCCAAAUGCUGACACACAAAAAAAAGGAGAAAGGAAAAGUCUCAAACGUUUAGCUUAUAAAACCCAUUUGGACAAAGACUCGAAGUUUGUGAACCUUGACAGCGGUGGAUUCUAGUGGGAAAGAAAGUUAAAUAAAGAAUACAAACGCAGCUAAUGAAAAUAAGACUUGUGCAUUUCAAGACUUCCAGGACAAUUAUCUAUCAGACUGUUUUACGUUUCCCAAACCGAUGCCAAGAAACCGUCUUCCUGAAUCCACCUGAGCGCUGCCAGCAGGGACUCAUCACCUCUGUUCUGCAAAGUGUGUCAGCGUGUCGAGACCUGAGUGUGUUUUACAGGCGUCAUGGAUGGAGCGACAGGAAAAUUGGUCCUACAGCAAGAGCUGUUAUUUCGUCUUGUAAAUCAAUGUGUACUUCAGCAUAGGGACAGAUGCUACAUGUUGUUGUGUAUUGUGAGGAAUCUGUUUAUCAUCCAUGGCAAUGUGAUGGAAUACUGGCACUGAUAAACUAUGAAGCUGUGAAGUGUAUCCAAGUCAACCACUAAUAAAAGAUCAUUUCGAGUUAGACAUCACAAAUCAGUCAAUGCUUCAAUGUGAAAGAUUCAAUUUCAUAAGGUAAAGUCAGUUGCAUUGCUAUUUUAUUUACAAAGCAGAGAUCUGUAAUGAUGAGUAUGUCUUUUUAGCUGCUUUAUCCUCGUGAACCCCGGAUUCCACUCCUCAAUGAUAUGAUGAGUCUUCUAUUUCUCCCAUCUUUACUUAAAGACCGUUAUUUGACUUUCAUGUCUGAAUAUCCCUCUUAACUUGAGAUCAGAGCAACAAGAACCGACUGGUUCCUCCCAAUGUGUCUCUAGAGUUUUCUUUAGACCUGAUCCCAGAUCUCAAGAAUGUUAUUCAUCCCAAACUCCCAAACUCAGCUGUCACAUCCAGCAUCUGUUUUAAUCAGGAAAAACUGCAGGAAAGAUUCAGCGUUAGAUUGACCUAGUUAUGAUCUCAUCAUAUCAGCUAGUUUCAAUAGUGUGUCAGUAAUAAUUAAUCCAACUUAAGAGGCACAACAUAUAGCAGCAUAUUGAUGUAUGUAGUUUACAGAUCUUGUCUAAAAAAUCUUACAAAUGCUUUGAAUGGUGUGUCGUCGUUUGCGACAGCCGCUUCUAGUAAGUUUAAACUUUAAUCUUAUUGGAUUUGUUGCAAAGCAAUUAAGUAUAUGAAGUGCAGAAAAUCAUGAGGUCAUCAUAACACAAAAGCACUAAAGCCAGACUUUAACUUUGAUGCAGAUGUGCUUCAGCCACAUCUGCACUUGGGUGGACAGAGAUUUCUUCGUUGGUCCUGAUAAUAAAGAUACAUAGAUACUCUAUAGUAUCUGUGUCCUCAUUAACUCCAGUGUUAGAGACACUUGUCUCUGUCCGGCUGUUAAUCCAACACUCUUUGCUUGUGAAUUCAAGGAAAUAAUUACUGCCUCUUCAGCAUGUGGGUCAGUGGUCUGUCCGGUGAAUUAGACCAGCUGCUGAAAGACAUUAAAAAAAAUGAACAUUUGAUAUCAGGCUAAAACAAACCCAGAAAUCUGCUUUCAGCAACUGUUGCUGUCCCAGGAGGCAUGACACCAAUCCUCCAGCGGUGGGUUCUUUUCCAAAGUCAUUCAAAACACACCAAGCAGCUGCGUAUUUUGGUCUGGAGACAAUAAAUAGCGAAUACAACUGAGGAUAAAACAAGGCCAAGAACUCCGACCCUUCCAUACACUGAUUUCCCAGGUGUCAAAUCAAAGCUUUUGAGUUUUUUUUGUUAAUUAUCGUUACAGAGUUGUAACAAUGCGGACAAAUUUUUAGUCACGGAUCAGUAAAGAGGCUGACUAGUCAUCUUUUCCAUAGUUAUAGCAAACAAAAAAAGUAUUUCGUUUUUUUUUCUUUCUCUGGUCUUUCUCUGGAUGAAUGAUGUGAUGUCUAUAAGAGCAGCAUCUGGAAGGAUUUCUGCCAGUAUUUGUAGUGUCCGAGUCUCUGAAGGUCAGACUCUGGUCUCAGGCGCUGGUCACAACCACAUUCACUUCCACUUCCUGUAGAACUGACUUCAACUAUUCUGCAAAUCAUUUCAAACCAACUAACUAAAAUUAGCCUGUUUUGCCUCCAGAUUGCCUGCUGACUAGUGAAUGAAUUGGUCAACUACUCAAUUUAACCCAGAUUCUGAAACCAGAGGAGGAGAGAGGCAGCAGAGCAACUCUUCCUGAGUGCGGGCGUGGCCGUGUGCAUGCGUAUGAUGACAGGCCUCUUUGAUCUUAGCACACCUCAAGCUUUUAAGUGCCCUAAUAAGAGCUGCAACCCUGUCAUUCACGCCAAGCUGCUUUUGUCGAGGGACGUUGUUGCUGACCCAGAGCUCUUCAUCCAGCGAUCUCUUUUGUGGUCUGCAGAAGGUCGGUUAAUGGAAAAGUGUGUGCGUGUCGUUGCAUUAGUCCCUUUAAUCACAUCAGACUCGUGUCUCAAUUACAAGGUGGAAGUCGACGCAGGAAAACAAGGUGCCUUGUCUACGGUUUAUACUUAUCAUGAAAAAGAGCUCAUAUCUGCUUGAAACUUUCUGUGAGAGACGGCUACUGUGCUUUUUUUUCUCUUCACAUUUCUUUUCCUUGAAAUGACAGCGAACUGAAGAAAGAUAUUGCAGAGAUGAAUUCCUUUGCUAGACACUUUUAUCUUAAAUAAUUUAGGACAGGACACUAAAAAAAACUCUUGAUUUGAGAGUUUUUAAAUUUCUCAUCCACAUUCCACACAAAUGACUGUAUACGACUAUAAUAAAAAAAAGAUCAUUAUUUAUAAUCACACUCUCCGGUGUCACCCAAAUGGAGGAUAAGGUUCCCUUCUGAGUCUGGUUCCUCUCAAGGUUUCUCAGGGAGUUUUUCCUCUUCGGGCUUCCUUACUAAGGAUAAAUACAAAUAUUACUUUAAAUAUAAGUCUAAUAUUAAUCUUGAACUUCUUGUACUAUAUUUCUUAUAUUUUGUAAAUCUGCUUUGAGAUAAGUCCAUGGUUAAAAGCACUGUACAAAUAAAAUUGAACUGAACUGAACAGAUUUUAAAUAUACUUUUGAAAUUCUAAGAACCUCUGCACCAUCUUACAUCAGAUCUUUUAGCACUACUCGACUGGGCCCAGGGUACAAGGUAGGUAUGAUUCAAGACUCUCCUCUGUUCUGGCAGCUAGGAGGUAGAAUGAACUUCCCCUAGAUGUUUGAACAGCUGAUUCACUUUCGAGUGAAGACCUACUUCUUUCUAAAAUAUGUAAACUAGUACUUUUUUCCAUAAAACUUGUUUAUAUUACCUCUCAAAAGUGGUUAAGACUCAUAGUACACUUAGUCUGUGAGACAUUAGGUCAUGGCCGGCCCAAGGGAUGGGGUAGCUUAGUGCUUAAGGUGUUGGGAUACUGUUUAGAAGGUUGUGAGUUUGAAUCCCAGGUCUACAAAGCUGCCACUGCUGGGCCCCUGAGCAAAGCCCUAAACCCUCAAUUCAAGUCGCUCUGGAUAAGGACAUCUGCCAAUUGCUAGAAAUGUAAAUGUUUUGCAUGUGAAAUAAAAAUGUUCUUCUGAUUUGCUUAUCCUUCUAGAUGUCCUAGUGUGCUUCAGGGCUUAAUAGAGUUAUCACACCUGCUGGUCAAAAAUAGGAACUGCAACCAGAGCUAAUACAGGCCCAUUGGGGUGGGAACCAUGCUGCCCCAUGCUACUGCUCACUGCUCUGAAUAUUUAUUGAAGGAGGAGCAGUGUACAGGAUAAAUAAUGAUAGGGUUGCCAGUGCCUUUGAUAUUAAACCAAAUACUCUGAUCUACUCUUAUCACAGUCAGUAAAUAUAAGUGUGUGGAUGAUGUACAGAGCAAUUACUAUUGCAAAGAUUGGGUGAUGGACAGGGGCAUUAUGGAGAAGAUAAUGCAUGGACAGCAUGGUGACCUUCUUUUCCCGUGUGAAGAGAAUCCCUUUUUUUCAACGUCCAGAGUCUUUGAGAAACCUGUCAACUGUUCAUAAUAAUGUCUGUGUGCUCUUCUCUGGCUGUAUUAAACUCUCUGUCUCUGUCCUAACUCACCAAAAUCUACGGUCAUCAGAAGUUGCUAGAUCUACCCCCAAGGGGUACCACCCAAAUGCCACACUAUUUUAUCCUGAAAGGUGCAAUUUAGUUCACUGCUCUGAAGAGACAGGAGCCUAAAUUUGUCUGCUGAUGUGUCAAAACAUGCGUUGUCAUUACAUAAAUGUCAUCAGGAUUCAAUAAAGCAGCGGGCAACUAUGUCAACAAAGCUACCCGCAAUUUCAAUGGAAUCAGAGGGGCUGGAAAAAAGUUGCCCUUUUAGCGAGGGAUCUCACAACAUAGAUCAGCCUUUGUUUAAUUUUCCUAGCGCAAGGAUUCCAACUUACUUAUAACGUUUCAUUAGAAUAAAUUAGAUGAUGAUUAAUGAAAGUCUUCAAGAGCUUGUUGGGUAAAAUGAGGAAUUAGGCAUGUCGGAAUUAAUCUGCAAGAUCUCGGGAAGCAGGGUUCGAGGAGAAAGUUAAGAUCUUGUCAUCUGGGAUUUCCAGAAGCUUUCGCUCUUCAUCCAAGUUGGCCUUAACACUGCAAAGCCAUACUGGAUUCGGAGAAGGUCAGCGAGUCUUGGAGGAGAGUGAAAAGUGAAAAGCCCGGCUUGUUCUUUCAGGAUAACGAAAGGAGACGAUGAUGAUAAUAUCGUUCAGCACUCACCAGUGAACGAGUUUACACAAUGGAGGUGUGUUGUCUCAGUAAGGAUUUAUAGUGGCUAAAACACCUACAUAACAUGUCGUGCGUAAUACCGCGGCGGGUUAAAUAUUAUUUCAGAAUAUUAGACAUUACUUACAGACACUUAUGUCAUGUAGUGAGAAGGUCAAGGAGAUGUUUAAGGGUAUAGUUGCAGCUUGCUAUGCUUUCUUGUAGCAUUUCCUUUAAGGAAAACUGGAGAAGUCUCUUUUCUAUUUUUUUUUUCAGCAGUGGAAAUCACAACUCAGUAUUAUCAUACCUAUAAUGCCUAGAAAUAAUGUCAAUUAUGGAAUUAAAAAACAAACAAACAUUGGUUAUAUGGGAGAAAAUGUUAUUUAAAAGAGAAGAUAAAAAACUUCAGUCAAGUCCAAUAAAUAUACAAAAUAUUAUUAUAAUAUUG